AUGGGUGUUACGCACGGUUUGUCACGGAUACACCAUUCAGUUUCGGAAAGGCCCGCCUCCUUUCCGCGGAAUUCUUUCCACUACGGUGAAGUCUACGGAAAUGGCGGUGCUGCGACAGGAAAUGUCAGCUCUGCUGAGCAAAGGGGCUAUAGAAGAAGUACACCCCUCUCAGAUGGAGACAGGUUUUUACAGCCGUUAUUUCGUGGUACCGAAAAAAGACGGCGGGUUACGACCCAUUCUGGAUUUACGCCGUCUGAAUCUUGCACUCAGACCGAGCAAAUUCAAGAUGUUGACGGUGAAAUCUAUUCUGUCUCAGAUCCGACCAGGCGAUUGGUUUAUUACGAUCGAUCUGAAGGAUGCGUAUUUCCAUAUUCAGAUCGUCAAGAGACACAGGAAGUUCCUCAGAUUCGCUUUAGAGGGCAAAGCGUAUCAGUACCGCGUUCUUCCCUUUGGCUUGGCUUUAGCGCCCCGUACUUUCUCAAAAUGCAUGGACGCAGCACUGGCCCCGUUGCGGCUCCAGGGCGUUCGUGUGUUGAAUUAUUUGGACGAUUGGCUGGUGCUAGCGCAAUCGCGGACUCAAGCACACUCUCACCGAGAUCUUGUGCUGAAUCAUUUAAGCAGCCUGGGCUUACGAACAAAUUUCAAGAAGAGUGUUUUAACUCCCUCUCAACGGAUAACUUUUCUGGGAAUAGAUCUGGACUCUCGCGCGAUGACAGCGAAGCUUUCUCUCCCGCGCGCUCAGUCGAUUGCGUCAUGCGUGCGGCACUUCAAAGCGGGUCGCACGGUGACAGUGAGAUUGUGCCUCAGGCUCUUGGGUCUAAUGGCAGCAGCAUCCCCCGUGAUUCGUCUGGGAUUGCUUCAAAUGCGCCCUUUUCAGUGGUGGACGAAAAGGCGGAAUAUUUCACCCCGUUGUCUCCCGCAUCGCACGAUUUCGGUGACACGGCGGUGUGUGAUGUCGCUAAAAAUUUGGAUGUCAACCGAAUUUCUCCUGUCAGGAGUUCGACUGGGAAUUUAUGCUUUCCGAGAGACUGUCACGACGGACGCGUCUUUGACUGGUUGGGGAGCUGUGUGUCGAGGGCGACCAGCCCACGGAGUGUGGACAGCGGCUCAGCGCGGCUGGCAUAUAAACAGACUGGAAUUACUGGCAGUUUUUCUGGCUCUCCAGUAUUUCGCGGAUCUGCUGAUCGGCCGUCAUGUGCUGCUCAGAUCAGACAACACAGCGGUUGUGUCUUAUCUGAACCAUCAAGGAGGAUUGCGCUCUCGCCCCCUGUGCAGGCUGGCGAGGCGUGUUCUUCUGUGGUCUCGGGACAAGUUUCUUUCGAUCCGGGCCAUUCAUGUCCCCGGACGAUUGAAUUUCGGAGCGGACCUGCUAUCCAGACAGGCUCUGGAACAGGGAGAAUGGCGAUUACACCCCCAGACGGUGGAUCUUUUAUGGCGGAUAUUCGGCAAAGCGAAAGUGGAUUUAUUCGCGUCGAGCAUGACUACGCAUUGCCCGCUAUGGUUCUCCCUACGCUCCCCAUCGCCCCUGGGCGUGGAUGCGUUAGCUCACAGCUGGCCCAGAACCAGUCUGUAUGCUUUUCCUCCGAUUCGUUUGAUCCCAGCGGUAUUAUGCAGAUUACGCCGGGACAGAGUGGAACAGCUGCUGCUGGUGGCUCCGCGAUGGCACACGCAGCCGUGGUUUGCGGAUCUGAUCAGUCUGCUAGCGGGCUCUCCGUGGGAGAUUCCCCUCAGACAGGAUUUAUUAUCACAAGCACAGGGGCUGAUUUGGCACCCGAGGCCAGAUCUGUGGAAACUGUGGGCGUGGCCAUUGAGCGGAGUGCAUUAGUAUGUCCCGGUCUUUCUGUUGAAACUACUGAGACUAUAUUGAGUUCUAGAGCAGCUUCUACGAGACGCUUAUAUGCUUUCAAGUGGAGACUGUUUACAGCCUGGUGUGGCAAUCAUAAUGUGGAUCCAGUUUACUGCCCAGUGGCUUCAGUGCUGGAGUUCCUCCAGGAGCGUUUCUCGGAUGGCGUUACACCAGCCACUUUAAAGGUUUACGUGGCAGCCAUUUCAGCUUACCACGAAUACAUAGGCGGUGCCUCUGUGGGGCGUCAUCCAUUAGUUUCUCGUUUCAUACAGGGUGCGCGACGGCUGAGGCCUUUCCGCCCUGUGCGAGUUCCUUCAUGGGAUUUAUCCAUUGUGUUGUUAGGUUUAUCAGGGCAUCCGUUUGAGCCCUUGGAGACCGUAUCAGAUAAAUUCCUGACACUGAAGACACUUCUUCUCAUGGCUUUAUCCUCCCUCAAGAGAGUUGGGGAUUUACAGGCUCUUUCUGUUUCACCUUCAUGCAUGGAAUUCGCACCGGGCUCUGUGAAGGUGCUGCUGCGGCCCAGGCCUAACUAUGUUCCUAAGGUCGCAUCUAACCCUUUUCGCUUUCAGCAAGUGGUUCUGGAAGCUUUUUCACCUGCUGAGGCCGGGUCAGGAGAUCUAAGUCUUUGCCCUGUGAGAGCUUUAAAGACUUAUGUGGAUCGCACAGCCCCUUGGCGUGAAUCUGACCAGCUGUUUGUCUGCUUUGGACAUAAAAGUAAGGGCCAUGCAGUUACAAAGCAGCGCAUGUCCCAUUGGCUGGUGGAGGCAAUUUCUUUGGCCUAUGAGGCGCGCGGACUCGCUUCGCCCUUAGGGGUUAAGGCUCAUUCCACUCGAGCUGUAGCUUCUUCUCAAGCUUUUCUCAGUGGCUCUUCUAUGGAUGAUAUCUGUGCUGCGGCAGGAUGGUCCUCACCGAGCACUUUUAUCAAGUCCUACAGUCUGGAUGUGAGGAUGGCCCCUGGCUCCCGGGUUCUCUCCGCUUGA
rnacentral:lncRNA from 1 species